AUUGAACGCUGGCGGCAGGCUUAACACAUGCACGUCGAGCGAGCGGCGGACGGGUGAGUAAUGUCUGGGAAACUGCCUGAUGGAGGGGGAUAACUACUGGAAACUGUAGCUAAUACCGCAUACCAUCGGAUGUGCCCAGGUGGGAUUAGCUAGUAGGUGGGGUAAAGGCUCACCUAGGCGACGAUCCCUAGCUGGUCUGAGAGGAUGACCAGCCACACUGGAACUGAGACACGGUCCAGACUCCUACGGGAGGCAGCAGUGGGGAAUAUUGCACAAUGGGCGCAAGCCUGAUGCAGCCAUGCCGCGUGUAUGAAGAAGGCCUUCGGGUUGUAAAGUACUUUCAGCGAGGAGGCGUUACCCGCAGAAGAAGCACCGGCUAACUCCGUGCCAGCAGCCGCGGUAAUAC
rnacentral:rRNA from 1 species